AAAAAAAUCGUCACUACACAGAUCCC
rnacentral:piRNA from 1 species